GUGGGGAAUAUUGGACAAUGGGCGCAAGCCUGAUCCAGCAAUGCCGCGUGUGUGAAGAAGGUCUUCGGAUUGUAAAGCACUUUCGACCGGGACGAUGAUGACGGUACCGGUAUAAGAAGCCCCGGCUAACUUCGUGCCAGCAGCCGCGGUAAUACGAAGGGGGCUAGCGUUGCUCGGAAUGACUGGGCGUAAAGGGCGCGUAGGCGGCGUGCACAGUCAGAUGUGAAAUUCCUGGGCUUAACCUGGGGGCUGCAUUUGAUACGGGCGUGCUAGAGUGGGGAAGAGGGUUGUGGAAUUCCCAGUGUAGAGGUGAAAUUCGUAGAUAUUGGGAAGAACACCGGUGGCGAAGGCGGCAACCUGGUCCUUGACUGACGCUGAGGCGCGAAAGCGUGGGGAGCAAACAGG
rnacentral:rRNA from 1 species